CAUUUAUAUUAUGGGUAUAUGAUCUUCAGCUGUAAAUUGUUUUCAAAUUUUUUGUAAUAAGAAUGAAGUUUGUCCGUUAGUUUUUUUCCAUAUCUGAAUUAAUCAGUGUUGGCCGCGUACUAGUUGUCAUAUAUAAAUUUUAGUACUUCUUAUGAUGACAAUACAGCAGUUUACUCAAGGAAUGGAGACGCAUGGAUUCACUUAUCUCACACGUGGGAAAGUAUCAACAUCCUACAUUAAUGGACUGGAGGAGGUCGAGAAUAUUGCAGGUUUAAUGCAGUCUACGUAUAAUAGUUACUCAAAAAGGCAGUACGGCAGAUCACUCAAGUCACGCUGAUACAUGAAUUCACAUUUCUCACGCGUGGGAUAGUAUCAACAGCCUACGUUGCAAAUGGACUAGAAGAUGCUGAGAAUAAUACGUGUUAUAUGCAAUAUGGCAGUACGGCAGUUCACUUAAGGAAUGCUGAG